rnacentral:rRNA from 1 species
CCAGCAGCCCGGGUAAUACGUAGGUGGCAAGCGUUAUCCGGGAUUAUUGGGCGUAAGCGCGCGUAGGCGGUUUUUUAAGUCUGAUGUGAAAGCCCACGGCCCUACUGUGGAGGGUCAUUGGAAACUGGAAAACUUGAGUGCAGCAUAGGAAAGUGGAAUUCCAUGUGUAGCGGUGAAAUGCGCAGAGAUAUGGAGGAACACCAGUGGCGAAGGCGACUUUCUGGUCUGUAACUGACGCUGAUGUGCGAAAGCGUGGGGAUCAAACAGGAUUAGAUACCCUGGUA